rnacentral:sRNA from 1 species
GCUUCAUAGCCGAUCUAUGUCUUGGGGACUCUGGCUUUAAACUAGAGAGCUACAAUUCAGACAAAGAUAUAAAAGCUCGAUUGAAACCCUAUGAGACCAGAAAGCUUUACACUCUGCUACAGCAACUCAUUGAUUCUGGUUACACCGCCAAGCAAGGAGCCAGACGUAACGCUAAAAAAGUUGUCGUCCUGGUUGUAGACGGUGCCAAGUCUGCAGAGUUAGUGUCAAAACAAGUGAAAACUUUGGUGGACAAGGGCAUUUCGGUGUUCAUUGCUGACCCAACCAACUCUGGAAUUAAGAUUAAAGGUACAACCACACUUGUGGGAGAGUCUCUGGCGCAGUCUACAGAACUCGUCCAGUACUUGUGUAAACCGUGUCUCUCCAAUAAAUCAAACUAAAAGUCAUUGAUAAACUUAGUGCUGGACUGCCAUUGCUCGAGUCUAAAGUGUCAAUCUAUUGAAACGUGUGUGUGUGUGUGUGUUGUUUUUUAUUUCUUGUUUUUUGAAAUUAUAUCCACAUUUUAUGUUUUGGAAGUAA